UAAAAUUCACGUGUUGAAGGCCCAAGCCUCAGUGUGACCGUAUUUGGAGAUGGGCCCUUUAAGGAGGUGGUCAAGGUUAACUGAGGUCAUAAGGGUGGGGCCCUGAUCCAGUAGGACUGGCAUCCUUAUGAGAAGAGGGAGAGAGAAGACCAUGUGAGGACACAGUGGGAAGGCCGCUGUCUGCAAGCCAGGCAGGGAGCUCUCCCCGGAAACGGAACCUGCUGGCACCGUGAUCUUGGCCUCCAGCCUCCAGCACCCCGAGAGAUGAGUGCUAUGAAACUGCUGCCGGGAACAAGAGAGCAGACUCAUAUGGAGAUGCAGAGGAAGCCUUUCUCGCUGGUCACCUGGGCUCGGGGUUUCCUGCUAGUUUCAAACGGCUGGGAGUAGCGAAAUCUAUGGUUGCGUUUUACCAUCUCCUCCCAAACUCUCCCUGAGGAUUGUUGAAAUGCAGCCCAGAGCUGAUCAUUCUCCGGGACCCUUCUGGUGGGGAAAGAGGAGGCAGCGCACGACAGCAGUGAAAAGCCAGGGGGAUGGACGACCCGAGCCUCUGGGUCACCCCUGUCUGGGAGCCUUCAGGGAACAGGAGUCGAGAGGGACAUGCCAUACAAGAGACGGAGACUGAGGCUCUGGGAGGUGAGGCGACCUGUGCAAGAUCACACAACUCGUCAACACAUCAAAAGGCCACUUCAGUCAACACAGUCAGGAUUCUGACGACCUCCGGCUUUACGUGAUUCAUAUGGAUGGGAUUUUUUUUUUAAUAUGUCGAAGAUUUCUACCAAGUUUGGGCUAAUUCUUCUCCACUUCACUUCGUAACAACAUUCAAGCUACGCUGCACUUGUCUCUGUCCAGCUCCCUACUGCUUCAGCCAGAGGAAACUGAGUCCGAGAGAGACGAUGGAGGGGAGAGCCAGCGCAGCACAGGCUGGGCUGCCCACCCCCUAGAAGGCUAAUCGAGAUGGUAUUUUCUGCUGGAAGCAAGUAAGCAAGUUUCCCACAAACCAAGCCAGCUUCUCCCAGAAGACAGGCGUUCUCGCCGGCUCUGUGCGCUGUCUCAAAGAUCUCGGUCUGCACAAUGGGCGACACUGAGGUGAAGAGACCUAUGCCUCUGAAGCUGGGGGCGUUGGCUUGUAAACCUCCUGGAUCCUGCCUCUGGGGAGAAAAGAGAAUCAACCCAGGAUAUCCUCUGCCCACCUGUGGGGCUCUGCCACCCCACAGGAGGGUUGUGGGUGGGGACCCUCUCAGACGGAGCCUGAUCGGGGCAAAAACUGGAAACAGCCAGAAGUCCUUCAAAGAGUGAACAGUAAACACGCCGGCCUGGGCCUGCCGUGGAACACGUGCCGCAACAAAGAACAAACUCUUGACCCGAGAGACAACCCGGGCUGCUUCAGAGAACGACGCUGAGUGCAAAAAGCCAAUCCCAAAAGCUGCCACACUGUUUGAGCUCACUUACAGGACUCUCCCAUGAUGACAGAAGUAUGGAGAUGGACAACAGACCAGUGGUUGCCAGAGGGUGGCGGGCACAGUGGGAGGGAGGUGGGUGUGGCCACAGGAGAACAGCUGGAGGGAUCCCUGACACGUGGGGACUGUCCAGGGUCUUGACUGUGGCGGUGGAUCCGCAAACCGACAUGGGUGAUAAAGUGCAGAGAACACCAGGGAAUGAGUACAAAUGACACCAGGGACAUCUGAGGGAGAUGGGUGGGUCUCCCUCCCAGGAUCUCUCUGGCUUAUUUCUUAGAACUGCAGGUGAAUCUACAACUAUCUCAAAAUAAAAGAUUUCAC
ensembl:lncRNA